rnacentral:rRNA from 1 species
GCCUUCGGGUUUAACCUCUUUUAGUAGGGAAGAAAGCGAAAGUGACGGACCUGCAGAAAAAAGCCCCGGCUAAUUAAGUGCCAGCAGCCGCGGUUAAUACGUAGGGUGCAAGCGUUGUCCGGAAUUAUUUGGCGUAAAGAGCUCGUAGGCGUUUUGUUGCGUUCUGCUGUGAAAUCCCGAGGCUCAACCUCGGGCUUGCAGUGGGUACGGGCAGACUAGAGUGCGGUAGGGGAGAUUGGAAAUUCCUGGUGUAGCGGUGGAAUGCGCAGAUAUCAGGAGGAACACCGAUGGCGAAGGCAGAUCUCUGGGCCGUAACUGACGCUGAGGAGCGAAAGCGUGGGGAGCGAACAGGAUUAGAUACCCUGGUAGUCCACGCCGUAAACGUUGGGCGCUAGAUGUAGGGACCUUUCCACGGUUUCUGUGUCGUAGCUAACGCAUUAAGCGCCCCGCCUGGGGAGUACGGCCGCAAGGCUAAAACUCAAAGGAAUUGACGGGGGCCCGCACAAGCGGCGGAGCAUGCGGAUUAAUUCGAUGCAACGCGAAGAACCUUACCAAGGCUUGACAUACACCGGAAACGGCCAGAGAUGGUUGCCCCCUUGUGGUCGGUGUACAGGUGGUGCAUGGUUGUCGUCAGCUCGUGUCGUGAGAUGUUGAGUUAAGUCCCGCAACGAGCGCAACCCUCGUUCUAUGUUGCCAGCGCGUUAUGGCGGGGACUCAUAGGAGACUGCCGGGGUCAACUCGGAGGAAGGUGGGGAUGACGUCAAAUCAUCAUGCCCCUUAUGUCUUGGGCUUCACGCAUGCUACAAUGGCCGGUACAAAGGGCUGCGAUACCGUAAGGUGGAGCGAAUCCCAAAAAGCCGGUCUCAGUUCGGAUUGAGGUCUGCAACUCGACCUCAUGAAGUCGGAGUCGCUAGUAAUCGCAGAUCAGCAACGCUGCGGUGAAUACGUUCCCGGGCCUUGUACACACCGCCC